GUACCUGGGACGUGGUCAAUGGGUGAUCAAUAAGGCUCAUGGCCUAGAUCAAUAGCUCACAUCGCACAUGAUGGGUGCGUUGAUCUACCAUCUCCCAAUGAUGGGAUAGUAGACGUCAUAAUUUAUGACAGGCAAGCGCUAUGCGUCGGCGCACCGGCUCA